UACGUAGGGAGCAAACGUUGUCCGGAAUCAUUGGGCGUAAAGCGCGCGUAGGUGGUCCCGUAAGUCCGCUGUGAAAGUCAAAGGCUCAACCUUUGAAAGCCGGUGGAUACUGUGGGACUAGAGUACGGAAGAGGCGAGUGGAAUUCCUGGUGUAGCGGUGGAAUGCGCAGAUAUCAGGAGGAACACCAAUAGCGAAGGCAGCUCGCUGGGACGUUACUGACACUGAGGCGCGAAAGCGUGGGGAGCGAACAGG
rnacentral:rRNA from 1 species